CUAUGCGCCUUGCCAGCCCGCUCAGUCAGAGUUUGAUCCUGGCUCAGAAUGAACGCUGGCGGCAGGCCUAACACAUGCAAGUCGAACGGAGUUAUAUUGUAGCUUGCUAUGGUAUAACUUAGUGGCAGACGGGUGAGUAAUGUAUAGGAAUCUACCUAGUAGUACGGAAUAAUUGUUGGAAACGGCAACUAAUACCAUAUACGCCCUACGGGGGAAAAAUUUAUUGCUAUUAGAUGAGCCUAUAUUAGAUUAGCUAGUUGGUGGAGUAAUAGCCUACCAAGGCAAUGAUCUAUAGCUGAUCUGAGAGGAUGAUCAGCCACACUGGAACUGAGAUACGGUCCAG
rnacentral:rRNA from 1 species